CCUACGGGAGGCAGCAGUCGGGAAUUUUGGGCAAUGGGCGAAAGCCUGACCCAGCAACGCCGCGUGAAGGAUGAAAUCCCUCGGGAUGUAAACUUCGCAAGAUUGGGAAGAAUUAGUAGGGGUUAAUACCCCCUAUGAUGACGGUACCUUUUGUAAGCUCCGGCUAACUCCGUGCCAGCAGCCGCGGUAAUACGGGGGGAGCAAGCGUUGUUCGGAUUUACUGGGCGUAAAGGGCGCGUAGGCGGUCAGCACAAGUCAGUUGUGAAAUCUCCGGGCUUAACUCGGAAAGGUCAACUGAUACUGUGCGACUAGAGUGCAGAAGGGGCAACUGGAAUUCUCGGUGUAGCGGUGAAAUGCGUAGAUAUCGAGAGGAACACCUGCGGCGAAGGCGGGUUGCUGGGCUGACACUGACGCUGAGGCGCGAAAGCCAGGGGAGCGAACGGGAUUAGAUACCCCGGUAGUCCUGGCCUUAAACGAUGGAUGCUUGGUGUUUGGAGUUAUAUAGUCUCCGGGUGCCGUAGCUAACGCGUUAAGCAUCCCGCCUGGGGAGUACGGUCGCAAGACUGAAACUCAAAGGAAUUGACGG
rnacentral:rRNA from 1 species